UAGAGUUAUGAAAACCUUGAACCGAUUGACAUUGGCCAGAAAAGGAAUAUGCAAAUGGUCAUUCUAUUGAGUCUGGAA